AAGUCGUAACAAGGUUUCCGUAGGUGAACCUGCGGAAGGAUCAUUUCCGAACAAAAUUUCUUAUCAACCAACCAUGUGAAAAGUAAUUGGCUUUACUGUGACCUAGUCACAGGCCUUGAUGAACACAACUUUAAAUAGUUUGAUCUGAUAUCGUUUUUGUUUUCAACAACAAAAAACAAUACAAUGAUAACUUUUAACGGUGGAUCUCUUGGCUCGU
rnacentral:misc_RNA from 1 species